UACGUAGGGUGCGAGCGUUGUCCGGAAUUAUUGGGCGUAAAGAGCUCGUAGGCGGUUCGUCGCGUCGAAUGUGAAAACCCGGGGCUCAACUCCGGGCUUGCAUUCGAUACGGGCAGACUAGAGUUCGGUAGGGGGAGACUGGAAUUCCUGGUGUAGCGGUGGAAAUGCGCAGAUAUCAGGAGGAACACCGGUGGCGAAGGCGGGUCUCUGGGCCGAAACUGACGCUGAGGAGCGAAAGCGUGGGGAGCGAACAGG
rnacentral:rRNA from 1 species